rnacentral:misc_RNA from 1 species
GUUGAAUGAUCAGCUGCGCCAAAUCAAUGCAGCACUAAGGCGACAAGCAAAGAUAGAGUCUUAUGCUCCCAACUUAAGCUAUGCACCGGUUGGUAGGACAGCAGAGGUGACUGAGGUUAUAGUGGAUCCUCGGAAGCAACAACUACUGUCACAUUUGAGAACUGGAAAAAAUUAUCUGAGGAAUCAAGAACCGGAGAAGGCAUUUGUAGAAUUUAAGGCAGCUCUUGAACUUGCACAAGC